GACGAACGCUGGCGGCGUGCUUAACACAUGCAAGUCGAACGGAAAGGCCCUGCUUGCAGGGUACUCGAGUGGCGAACGGGUGAGUAACACGUGGGUGAUCUGCCCUGCACUUCGGGAUAAGCUUGGGAAACUGGGUCUAAUACCGGAUAGGAGCCAUCUUUAGUGUGGUGGUUGGAAAGUUUUUUCGGUGUAGGAUGAGCUCGCGGCUUAUCAGCUUGUUGGUGGGGUAAUGGCCUACCAAGGCGGCGACGGGUAGCCGGCCUGAGAGGGUGUACGGCCACAUUGGGACUGAGAUACGGCCCAGACUCCUACGGGAGGCAGCAGGGGGGAAUAUUGCACAAUGGGCGCAAGCCUGAUGCAGCGACGCCGCGUGGGGGAUGAAGGCCUUCGGGUUGUAAACUCCUUUCGCUAGGGACGAAGCUUUUUUGUGACGGUACCUAGAGAAGAAGCACCGGCUAACUACGUG
rnacentral:rRNA from 1 species